rnacentral:rRNA from 1 species
AGGGACACUGCCAAGCUAGAGGGUGGGUGAGGCCAGCGGUAUUCCUGGGGUAGGGGCGAAAUCCAUUGAUCCCAGGAGGACCACCAGUGGCGAAGGCUGCUGACCAGAACACGCCUGACGGUGAGGGACGAAAGCUGGGGUAGCGAAUCGGAUUAGAUACCCGAGUAGUCCCAGCCGUAAACGAUGCAGGCUAGGUGUUGGGAUGGCCACGCGCCGCCCCAGUGCCACAGGGAAGCCAUUAAGCCUGCCGCCUGGGGAGUACGGCCGCAAGGCUGAAACUUAAAGGAAUUGGCGGGGGAGCACCACCAGGCGUGAAGCCUGCG